rnacentral:rRNA from 1 species
AGGGUUCGAUCAUGGCUCAGAACGAACGCUGGCGGCAUGGAUUAGGCAUGCAAGUCGAACGGACGUAGCAAUACGUUAGUGGCGAAAGGGUGAGGAACGCGUGAGCAACCUGCCCCCAAGUUGGGAAUAACAGCUGGAAACGGCUGCUAAUACCUGAUGUGGUAGUAAAGUGGCAUCACAUUACUACUAAAGAUUUAUCGCUUGGGGAUGGGCUCGCGUCCCAUUAGCUAGUUGGUGAGGUAACGGCUCACCAAGGCAACGAUGGGUAGCUGGUCUGAGAGGAUGGUCAGCCACACUGGGACUGAGAUACUGCCCAG